UUUGGUGGCAAUACCGCAGUGGUCCGACCCGUUCCCAUCCCGAACACGGCCGUCAAACACUGCAUGGCCGAUGGUAGUGGUUGUAUAGCUUCCGCGAGAGUAGGUCGCCGCCAGUU
rnacentral:rRNA from 1 species